rnacentral:rRNA from 1 species
GAUAUGGUUAUAUACCUCAUUAUUAUCCAUCACAAAUUGAGGUACAUGGGUAUGUCCCAAUUGCCCAAUUUCUUCAAAAAGUGGUUCCUUUGUACAAGAAAUAUCUAUACAAAGAUGCUGAGGGAAUGGACUCCAAUUUAAAUUUUGGUAAAGGGGGUUCAGGGUCUAAUACCCCUGCGGUGAAAGUCUUUCCAUCUUUAUUAGAGAAUUAUACAAUUGAGUAUGGUCAUAUGUAAAAUAUGGGUUUCUCAGGGCAAGGCCAAACGGUAUGCCAAAAUCCUGGACUGGAAGGUAUAGGAUAACGGAGGGAGUGUUUACCAGGUGAAAUCCUGUGUGGUGAGGAUCUGUGAGAACAGAUGAUUGCAAGACGGCAGUUUCAAACCUUUCCCCCAUUUUUGGUUACCAAAUUCACUUCCUAUAAAUUGUCUAUAUAGCAAGCUUAUGAUCUGUAAGUGGUGUUGUUAGAUGAUCCGUAUAAAAAAAAAGUAAGACAAACUACUGCGAAAGCAUCUGCCAAGGAUUAUUUCAUUGAUCAAGAACAAAGGUUAAGGGUUCAAAAACAAUCAGCUACCAUUGUAGUCUUAACAGUAAACUAUGCCAACUGGGGAUCAGACAAGGAUUUUUAAUGACUUGUUUGGCACCCAAAGGGAAACCUUAAGUUUAGGUUUGUGGGGGAGUACAGUCACAAGACUGAAACUUAAAGGAAUUGACCGAAGGGCACCACCAGGUGUGGAGCCUGCGGCUUAAUUUGACUCAACACGGGGAAACUCACCAGGUCCAGACACAGUAAGGAUUGACAGAUUGAUAGCUUUUUCUUGACUUUGUGGUUGGUGGUGCAUGGCCGUUCUUAGUUGGUGGAGUGAUUUGUCUGGUUAAUUCCGAUAACAAAUGAGACCUUCUCCUGCUAAAUAGUCCAGUUGGCUAAGGCUGACUGCUUACUUCUUAGAGGGACUAUCAAUGUUUAGUUGAUGGAAGUUGGAGUCAAUAACAGGUCUGUGAUGCCCUUAGAUGUUCUGGGCCGCACACGUGCUAGACUGACCAAGCCAGCGAAUAUAUCACCUUAUCUGAAAGGAUUGGGUAAUCUUGUGAAACUUGGUCGUGAUGGGGAUAGAGCAUUGCAAUUAUCGCUCUUCAACGAGGAAUACCUAGUAAGCGUAUGUCAUCAGCAUGCGUUGAUUACGUCCCUGUCCUUUGUACACACCGCCCAUUGCUACUACCAAUUGAAUGGCUUAUUGAGGCAUUUGGAGAGACUAUCAAGAGUUGGCAACAACACUUUACUGUUUCAAAGUUCUACAAAAUUGGUCAUUUGGAACGGGCCCGGCAA